rnacentral:misc_RNA from 1 species
GAUGAAGAACGUAGCGAAAUGCGAUACUUGGUGUGAAUUGCAGAAUCCCGUGAACCAUCGAGUCUUUGAACGCAAGUUGCGCCCGAAGCCAUCAGGUUGAGGGCACGUCUGCCUGGGCGUCACAUAUCGUUGCCCAAUGCCUAUUGCAGUGCAAUAGGAAUUUUUAGGGCGAAUGAUGGCUUCCCGUGAGCGUUGUUGCCUCGCGGUUGGUUGAAAAUCGAGUCCUUGGUAGGGUGUGCCAUGGUAGAUGGUGGUCGAGUUAGAACGAUACCGAUCAUGUGCAUGCUCCCCAAAAUAUGGCCUCUAUGACCCACACGCGUCUUUUGACGCUCAUGACGAGACCUCAGGUCAGGCGGGGCUACCCGCUGAAUUUAAGCAUAUCAAUAAGCGGAGGA